UACGGGGGGUGCAAGCGUUGUCCGGAAUCAUUGGGCGUAAAGCGUUCGUAGGCGGUAAAGUAAGUCAGAUGUUAAAGCCCGGGGCUCAACUCCGGUUCGGCAUUUGAUACUACUUAACUAGAAUGCGGUAGAGGUAAAGGGAAUUCCUGGUGUAGCGGUGAAAUGCGUAGAUAUCAGGAGGAACAUCGGUGGCGAAAGCGCUUUACUGGGCCGUUAUUGACGCUGAGGAACGAAAGCCAGGGGAGCAAAUGGG
rnacentral:rRNA from 1 species